GACGAACGCUGGCGGCGUGCUUAACACAUGCAAGUCGAACGGAAAGGCCCUGCUUUUGUGGGGUGCUCGAGUGGCGAACGGGUGAGUAACACGUGAGUAACCUGCCCUUGACUUUGGGAUAACUUCAGGAAACUGGGGCUAAUACCGGAUAGGAGCUCCUGCUGCAUGGUGGGGGUUGGAAAGUUUCGGCGGUUGGGGAUGGACUCGCGGCUUAUCAGCUUGUUGGUGGGGUAGUGGCUUACCAAGGCUUUGACGGGUAGCCGGCCUGAGAGGGUGACCGGCCACAUUGGGACUGAGAUACGGCCCAGACUCCUACGGGAGGCAGCAGUGGGGGAUAUUACACAAUGGGCGGAAGCCUGAUGCAGCAACGCCGCGUGCGGGAUGACGGCCUUCGGGUUGUAAACCGCUUUCGCCUGUGACGAAGCGUGAGUGACGGUAAUGGGUAAAGAAGCACCGGCUAACUACGUG
rnacentral:rRNA from 1 species